rnacentral:rRNA from 1 species
CCUGAACGCUGGCGGCGUGGCUAAGACAUGCAAGUCGAACGAUCCCCGCAAGGGGGAUAGUGGCGGACGGGUGAGUAAUGUAUCGCUAAUGUACCCCUGAGUCAGGGAUAGCUGACCGAAAGGUCAGGUAAUACCUGAUAAAAUACCUUGGUCGCAUGGCCUGGGUCUCAAAGGAGCAAUCCGCUCUAGGAGCAGGCGAUAUCGUAUCAGCUAGUUGGGAGGUAACGGCUCACCAAGGCGACGACGCGUAGCUGGUCUGAGAGGACGGCCAGCCACAUCGGGACUGAGACACUGCCCGGACUCCGUACGGGGGCUGCAGUAACGAAUCUUCCGCAAUGCCCGCAAGGGUGACGGAGCGACGCCGCGUGUGGGACGAAGCCC